UACGGGGGGGGGCAAGCGUUGUUCGGAAUUACUGGGCGUAAAGGGCUCGUAGGCGGCCAACUAAGUCGGAUGUGAAAUCCCCAGGCUUAACCUGGGAACUGCAUCCGAUACUGGAUGGCUUGAAUCCGGGAGAGGGAUGCAGAAUUCCAGGUGUAGCGGUGAAAUGCGUAGAUAUCUGGAGGAAUACCGGUGGCGAAGGCGGCAUCCUGGACCGGCAUUGACGCUGAUGAGCGAAAGCUAGGGGAGCAAACAGG
rnacentral:rRNA from 1 species